rnacentral:rRNA from 1 species
AUGGAUGAGCCGAUGUCCAGGCUCACCCACGACCUACUCGCGGAGAUCCUCUCUCGCGUGCCCUACAAAUCGCUCUGCAUCUGCAAGUGCGUCUGCCCGGCCUGGCGCGCCAUCAUCGCAGAUCCGGAGAAUCGGAAGAAGAUUGUGCAGUCCCUGGCCGGUUUCUUCUACUACAGCUGGGACGAAGCCACGGCCGACUGUGCUGAGCCCCGCGGCUUGGCCGUCAACUACGCCGACCUGUCUGCCUUCCCUUGGGCGAGCGCCCCCAAGACCUCCCCACGCCUGCCACUGCCGCCCGACAGCGCAGACUGUUUCUUCACCAUCAAGGAUUCCUGCGAUGGGCUGUUUCUUACCCGCAUUCGGACGGGUACCCCGGAGCUACAAUUUCGCUACAUUGUCUCCAAUCCAGCUACCAGUGAGUAUACUCUGCUGCCCCACUCCGGCUACGAUGGCAACUGGUGUGGCUCUUACUUGGGCUUCGACAGUGAUGCCUCCUCUGAAGAGUUUCAUGUGUUCCAGUUUGUGGAAUGGGCAGAUGAGCACUGGGAUCCACCUAUUCCGGUUGUGACAGGAGUCAACAUUUACUCCUCAGAAACUGGUACAUGGGUAGCAAUGGAACCCAAAUGGGACAUCCAAGUUAGCUUGUGCGGUGGUCCACUUGGAGUUUUUCGUAAGGGGUGUUUGCACCUGCUCAUACAUAAUGAUGGGUUGGCAAUAGUUGAUGCACAAGGGCUAAAAUGGAGGACCAUCCCCGUGCCGAAUUUCAUCGAUCCGAGUUUCUCUGGUUUCAUCGGAAAAUCUGCAGGACAACUGUUCUAUAUCAACUCUGAUGAUAUUUAUGGCUCGGCCCCUUUUCCAACUAUAUCCGUUUACGUUCUUAGUACUGGGAUUUAUAACUGGGAUGUGUCUCAUUUGGAUGACGGAUGCACGCAUUGGAUAUUGCUGCACAAGCUUUCAAAUGUGAUUCCAAAGAAGAAUUUUUGUCUCGGCCGGGGCCUCAAAGUCGUUGGAGUACACCCACAUGCCAAUAUCAUCUUUUUGGCCGAUUGUAACAGUAAUGAACUGCUGGCAUAUGAUUUGGAUCAUCAUGAAAGUACAGCUGUACUCCGCAUUGAGCGUUACUGCCUGGGGCCAUAUGAACAAUAUUUCCCAUAUGUGCCACUGUUGUCCUGCCUACCAUUGGAUAAAAGAAUACGGCUGACAACUCCCAGUUGA